AUUGAACGCUGGCGGCAGGCCUAACACAUGCAAGUCGAGCGGAUGAAGGGAGCUUGCUCCUGGAUUCAGCGGCGGACGGGUGAGUAAUUCCUAGGAAUCUGCCUGGUAGUGGGGGAUAACGUCCGGAAACGGGCGCUAAUACCGCAUACGUCCUGAGGGAGAAAGUGGGGGAUCUUCGGACCCCACGCUAUCAGAUGAGCCUAGGUCGGAUUAGCUAGUUGGUGGGGUAAAGGCCUACCAAGGCGACGAUCCGUAACUGGUCUGAGAGGAUGAUCAGUCACACUGGAACUGAGACACGGUCCAGACUCCUACGGGAGGCAGCAGUGGGGAAUAUUGGACAAAGGGCGAAAGCCUGAUCCAGCCAUGCCGCGUGUGUGAAGAAGGUCUUCGGAUUGUAAAGCACUUUAAGUUGGGAGGAAGGGCAGUAAGUUAAUACCUUGCUGUUUUGACGUUACCAACAGAAUAAGCACCGGCUAACUUCGUG
rnacentral:rRNA from 1 species